rnacentral:rRNA from 1 species
GCCGCGGUAAUACAGAGGGUGCAAGCGUUAAUCGGAAUUACUGGGCGUAAAGCGCGCGUAGGUGGUUCGUUAAGUUGGAUGUGAAAUCCCCGGGCUCAACCUGGGAACUGCAUUCAAAACUGUCGAGCUAGAGUAUGGUAGAGGGUGGUGGAAUUUCCUGUGUAGCGGUGAAAUGCGUAGAUAUAGGAAGGAACACCAGUGGCGAAGGCGACCACCUGGACUAAUACUGACACUGAGGUGCGAAAGCGUGGGGAGCAAACAGGAUUAGAUACCCCGGUAGUCC